rnacentral:rRNA from 1 species
GGGCGCAAGCCUGACCGCAAUGCCGCGUGUGUGAAGAAGGCCUUCGGGUUGUAAAGCACUUUUAUCAGGAGCGAAAUACCACGGGUUAAUACCCUAUGGGGCUGACGGUACCUGAGGAAUAAGCACCGGCUAACUUCGUGCCAGCAGCCGCGGUAAUACGAAGGGUGCAAGCGUUAAUCGGAAUUACUGGGCGUAAAGGGUGCGUAGGCGGUUACUUAAGUCUGUCGUGAAAUCCCCGGGCUCAACCUGGGAAUGGCGAUGGAUACUGGGUGGCUAGAGUGUGUCAGAGGAUGGUGGAAUUCCCGGUGUAGCGGUGAAAUGCGUAGAGAUCGGGAGGAACAUCAGUGGCGAAGGCGGCCAUCUGGGACAACACUGACGCUGAAGCACGAAAGCGUGGGGAGCAAACAGGAUUAGAUACCCUGGUAGUCCACGCCCUAAACGAUGCGAACUGGAUGUUGGUCUCAACUCGGAGAUCAGUGUCGAAGCUAACGCGUUAAGUUCGCC